rnacentral:rRNA from 1 species
UAUAGAUUGUUAUUUAAAGUACUUAUUUUAUGGAUAUUUAAAUAAAUAAAUUUAGAUUUAGUAGAAAGUUAAAGAAAAAUUAAAUUUUAAUUAUAGUUAAUAGUAUAGUGAUAGAAAUUAUUAUUAUAAAUUAAAGAAGAUUUUAUUUGUUGUACCUUGUGUAUCAGGGUUUAUUAAAUUUUUUAAAGUAUUUUAUUUUCUCGAAUUGUAAAGAGCUAAUUGAUUUUAAAUUUUAUUGUUGAAUAAAUAUUUAAUAAAGUUAAUUUGAAAUUAAAAGUUAUUCGUUUUUCAAUAUAUCUGGUUUUUUAAGAAAUAAAUUUAAUUUAGUAAUUUUGUUUAUUUUAAUGUUUUGGCAUUAAAAUGAAUUUUAAUUAUUACUAUUUUAAGGGAAAAUCUUUAAAGUAAAUUUUUACAAGUAAUAAAAGUAAAAUAUUAAAUAGGAUUGGAAAUUUUCAUUUUUUAUAGAGUGUUAUAAUAAAAUUUUAUAUAAUAUAUUAUUUUUUAAAUUUUAAGUUUUUAUUAAAAUAUUUUUUUGAAUUAUUUAAAAAAAGUAAUUAUGAUAAAAUUAGUAUAAUAUAAUUAUAGUGGUAUAUAAUUGUGAUUAGGUAAAAUUAAGGAAUUCGGCAAAUUAAUUUUCCACCUGUUUAAUAAAAACAUGUCUUUUUGAUUAUUAUUUAAAGUCGGGCCUGCCCUAUGAAAUUUAAAUGGCUGCAGUAUUUUGACUGUACAAAGGUAGCAUAAUCAUUAGUUUUUUAAUUGAAAACUUGUAUGAAGGGUUUGAUGAGAAAAUUGCUGUCUCAUUUUUAUUUAAUUAAAACUUUAUUUUUAAUUAAGAAAGAUUAAAUUUUUUUAAAAAGACGAGAAGACCCUAUAGAGUUUUAUUGCUAAUUAAGUAUUUAAUUUUAGAUUUUUAUUUAAUAUUUACUGAUUCAAUUUAGUUGGGGUGAUUAAAAAAUUUAAUAAACUUUUUUAUAUAAAUACAUUGAUUUAUGAAAGGUUUGAUCAUACUUUAGGAUUAAAAGAAAAAAUUACCUUAGGGAUAACAGCGUAAUUUAUUUUUAAAGUUCUAAUUGAAAAAUAAGAUUGCGACCUCGAUGUUGGAUUAAAAAUAAGUAUUUGGUGGAGAAGCUAAAGAUUUAAGUCUGUUCGACUUUUAAAAUUUUACAUGAUCUGAGUUUAAACCGGUGUGAGCCAGGUUGGUUUCUAUCUUUUAAUAAAUAAAAUAUUUUAGUACGAAAGGACCGAGUAUU